rnacentral:rRNA from 1 species
GAUGAACGCUGGCGGCGUGCUUAACACAUGCAAGUCGAACGGAAAGGCUCCUGCUUGCAGGGGUACUCGAGUGGCGAACGGGUGAGUAACACGUGGGUGAUCUGCCCAGCACUUCGGGAUAAGCCUGGGAAACUGGGUCUAAUACCGGAUAGGACGAUGGUUUGGAUGCCAUUGUGGAAAGUUUUUUCGGUGUGGGAUGAGCUCGCGGCCUAUCAGCUUGUUGGUGGGGUAAUGGCCUACCAAGGCGUCGACGGGUAGCCGGCCUGAGAGGGUGUACGGCCACAUUGGGACUGAGAUACGGCCCAGACUCCUACGGGAGGCAGCAGUGGGGAAUAUUGCACAAUGGGCGCAAGCCUGAUGCAGCGACGCCGCGUGGGGGAUGACGGCCUUCGGGUUGUAAACUCCUUUCGCUAGGGACGAAGCGCAAGUGACGGUACCUGGAGAAGAAGCACCGGCUAACUACGUA